rnacentral:rRNA from 1 species
GGGUUGUGAGGUUAAGCGACUAAGCGUACACGGUGGAUGCCCUGGCAGUCAGAGGCGAUGAAGGACGUGCUAAUCUGCGAUAAGCGCCGGUAAGGUGAUAUGAACCGUUAUAACCGGCGAUUUCCGAAUGGGGAAACCCAGUGUGAUUCGUCACACUAUCAUUAACUGAAUCCAUAGGUUAAUGAGGCGAACCGGGGGAACUGAAACAUCUAAGUACCCCGAGGAAAAGAAAUCAACCGAGAUUCCCCCAGUAGCGGCGAGCGAACGGGGAGGAGCCCAGAGCCUGAAUCAGCAUGUGUGUUAGUGGAAGCGUCUGGAAAGGCGCGCGAUACAGGGUGACAGCCCCGUACACAAAAGCGCAUGUGCUGUGAGCUCGAUGAGUAGGGCGGGACACGUGGUAUCCUGUCUGAAUAUGGGGGGACCAUCCUCCAAGGCUAAAUACUCCUGACUGACCGAUAGUGAACCAGUACCGUGAGGGAAAGGCGAAAAGAACCCCGGCGAGGGGAGUGAAAAAGAACCUGAAACCGUGUACGUACAAGCAGUGGGAGCCCCACCACCAAAGCAUUCUCUGGUGUUGAAGGCCCUGCAAAGCAGCAUCGCGGUGGCGGAGCGUCGUUUGCGACGCCCAACACACAAAACAAGCGGUGAAUGCUUUGGGGUGGGGUGACUGCGUACCUUUUGUAUAAUGGGUCAGCGACUUAUAUUCUGUAGCAAGGUUAACCGUAUAGGGGAGCCGGAGGGAAACCGAGUCUUAAUUGGGCGUUAAGUUGCAGGGUAUAGACCCGAAACCCGGUGAUCUAGCCAUGGGCAGGUUGAAGGUUGGGUAACACUAACUGGAGGACCGAACCGACUAAUGUUGAAAAAUUAGCGGAUGACCUGUGGCUGGGGGUGAAAGGCCAAUCAAACCGGGAGAUAGCUGGUUCUCCCCGAAAGCUAUUUAGGUAGCGCCUCGUGAAUUCAUCUCCGGGGGUAGAGCACUGUUUCGGCUAGGGGGCCAUCCCGGCUUACCAACCCGAUGCAAACUGCGAAUACCGGAGAAUGUUAUCACGGGAGACACACGGCGGGUGCUAACGUCCGUCGUGAAGAGGGAAACAACCCAGACCGCCAGCUAAGGUCCCAAAGUCAUGGUUAAGUGGGAAACGAUGUGGGAAGGCCCAGACAGCCAGGAUGUUGGCUUAGAAGCAGCCAUCAUUUAAAGAAAGCGUAAUAGCUCACUGGUCGAGUCGGCCUGCGCGGAAGAUGUAACGGGGCUAAACCAUGCACCGAAGCUGCGGCAGCGA